UGGGGAACCUUGCGCAAUGGCCGAAAGGCUGACGCAGCGACGCCGCGUGGGGGAUGAAGGCCUUCGGGUUGUAAACCCCUGUUGCCCGGGACGAACAACACCAUUCGUGGUGUCUGACGGUACCGGGUGAGGAAGCACCGGCUAACUCUGUGCCAGCAGCCGCGGUAAUACAGAGGGUGCGAGCGUUGUCCGGAAUCACUGGGCGUAAAGGGCGCGUAGGCGGUCUGCUAAGCGUGUGGUGAAAGCUCGGGGCUCAACCCCGAGUCGGCCGUGCGAACUGGUGGACUUGAGCAUGUCAGAGGCAGGCGGAAUUCCGGGUGUAGCGGUGGAAUGCGUAGAGAUCCGGAAGAACACCGGUGGCGAAGGCGGCCUGCUGGGACAUGGCUGACGCUGAGGCGCGACAGCGUGGGGAGCAAACAGGAUUAGAUACCCUGGUAGUCCACGCCGUAAACGAUGGGCACUAGGUGCUUGGGGGAGCGACCCCCUGAGUGCCGGCGCUAACGCA
rnacentral:rRNA from 1 species